GCAAAUGACAAGGUCAGAAGUUCAAGACAGAUAACGUCUAAACUAUGGUACCGUUGAUAGGAAAGAAAUCAAUAAGAAUGGGUUUCUUGGUCGUGAGAAAAAUAUUGAAAUCCGUACCAUGGUCACUUGGUCACAAUGCAAAGGAUAAGAAACACGUGAUAUUGACUCUGUACUGAGGUAUAUAUAUGGCUGUGAGACUUCAACAGCAUUCUAAGAAACAUGAAGGUCGCUAUCCUCUUCGUCUUCGCAGCCCUCCUGGUGGCCUCCCAGGCAGCCCACGAAGUCUGUGGCACAGGCUGUGUCGCUGCUGGCGCUAACGAAAUCACCUUCUGUCAGAAUCUCUGUACCAGCUGUGCUGGACACGUCCAUUGUAACAAACACAAUGAUGAGUGCGAGUGUCACGGAAAUGACCAUACUCACAUGCCUUGAAAAACUUCAACACGGAGAAGGGGGUUACAAGUCAUAUAUUGUGUAAUUAAAUAAAAGUAUUGGAAACAA